AGAAAAUGAUGAAAAAUGUUUCCUAAAGCCCAGGAUGACGUCCUUAAAUGUUUUGUUUUGUCCACAACUCAAAGAUAUUCAGUUUACUGUCAUAGAGGAGCAAAGAAACCAGAAAAUUUUCACACUUAAGAAGCUAGAAUCGGAGUAUUUAGACUUUUUCUUUCUUAAAA